CCUUCUAAAGUUUGCAAAUUUUGUAUACUUUUGUAUUGCAAAUUUUGUAUACUUUUGUAUUGCAAUUUUCACAUGCAAUACAAAAGUAUACAAAAUUUGCAAACUUUGCAA